UCGCCCCAAAGUCAGUGGGUUUUUUGAAUGGGUUUUUCCUAAAUCGCCUGAAAUAAGGUCUGUGGUUAACAAAGCCUCUAAAUUUGAUCUAUGACAUAAAACACACCAGUUAUAACCCGCUUGUGAUUUUUUUUAAACCUUUAUUGUGUCUUAAAAACACUGGUUGCUAUCAAAUUGCUAAAAGGGACUACUUCCUUUGGCGGGGACUUUAGACGUCAUCAUGACAAACAGGACAUUUGGACAGCAUUUCUCAUGAAAAAGUGGAUAAGUAUUCAUACACAGCGUAGAUCAUAAUCAGCGAGUUAUAAAUAAAGUUUGAGGAAGCUUGGUGGUGGUGACGUUGAUCCGCUACCAUGGUGUGCUGUAGUCCGUUUAUAGCCUACUGUUAGCUUUUUAUAUCUGACGACUUUAUUUAGGCUUCAAAAUGUAUAAAUGUUGUGUUAACUUGUAAAGAUUAUCUUGAUAGACAAAACGUGUAACUGUCAUAACCCUUUGUUAAACACAGAGCUUAUUUUUUGCAAUUUUCCAAAAGUCUAUGGGAAAAAUGCAUUGGCUUUAGAUCGAGGGAACCCGUGCGCCGCUAACUUCCAGGUUGGCCUACAAAAACACGUCAUCCCUGAGGUACUCUAUAGCGAGCUAGCUUUCAAAUCAUAACAUCCCACCUUCCCUUCAGAGCAUCUCCAAAGCCACGCCUCCUCCUAAACUCACACACACACCUGCUCUCGGCAAAGCACCAUAAGUAAGCGUGCCACACGAGUCCUGAAAGUGUCCAUUACUGCGCAGACUCGAGACUCAAGAUGUCAGUGCCAUAUUGGCACACUGGCGGCUUCAGUUACUACAAUGGAAGAGAGUGAAGCGACUAUAAAUAUCCCGCCCUGUCUCCCAUGGCCCAUAUGGCCCUGCUCUUUCCUGAGGGAGAGGAAGUGCUAGCUGAUUCAGGGACCCAAUCUUUCUCCUGGGAGAGAGGAGAGCCCAGCGAUGGGGGUUGGGAAGGACAAGGCUUGUUUACAGUGGAGAUCCCUGGAGGUCUGCACUGUACAGUUCAGUGUGGACAAAACACGGACAACCAUGAAAGGCAACGACAACAAUGAACCUUAACAACUGAAACAAUGCUUUUUCAUGCAUACUCAAAAGUAUUGGCUAAUUAUAUAAAAAGUUUAAAAUCAACAUGACAUUGUGUUUGCAGCCCAUUUUACUUGUGAAAUUUGAUGCAAUGUUGAAUUGUGCACAAGACCAAGAAUGUGUGUAAAGUAAAAAUCUUUUUGAUAAGUAACUGUGGAAUUUCAACAGAAAACGGAGACUUAAUUCUUUAACAUCUUUUAUUCUUUUAUUAUUGUUUACAUGUCCAGCAUGGAUCGUUAAACACACUCGGAAGAUGUGAACAAACACAAAUGUAUAAAAUCCUCAGUUUCUACAUAAGAAAAAAUCAAAAACACAAAUCGGAAUGUUAUUAACAGGUAGAAAUCUAAAAAAAACACAAAAGAAAAAUAUUGAAAAGGUACUAUUUACAAUUUUAAAAAUGACCAAAUUUAAGAUAAUAUUAAGAAAAAUAUUAACUGAAAACAUGACCAUCUAAAUUUCACUUUACCAUUAUUAAUAAAGAUGAUGAGGUGUUUAAGAAAACACUGCAGCACAACUUUGUGCACAUAAACAGCAUUGCUUUAAAUGUUAGUGAUUUGCUACUACUGCAUAUUUUGUCUGAAAUGCUUUGUCUAGUUUUAAACAGCAUGUUUUUGUAAGGCUCAUUAAGUAAAGUGAGAUUCCCUUCAAGACAGUGUGCAUGCCUAGACGCGUUGUCACACAACAGGGUUGAUUUGAUAUUGAAUCUACCCUUGACACAGAAUAAUGCACACUGUCUCAUUCUACACAGCUGACUCAACAAAGGUGAAGACAACAUAUUGUCUCAACCUUUUUUUUUUGGCUAUUUAUUCAGUAAGUCAACAAUGAUUGCAGUCGAAUAGCUGCAGCUGGUUAAUAAAUGGUGUGGACGGAUGUUCUUAGAGGCACCUCUGAUCAGAGCUCAAGCUUAUAUCAGGAGAAUAUACAUACACAGAAAGAAGUCACACGGCAUAUGUAGCGUCACUGUACUGUCCAUUUGGGUGGUCAAACUCCAUUUAACUGUGAUGAAAAACCCAUCAUUGCAUAAAAUAGCAGUGGUCCUGAGCUGCGUUUAUGGGAACGGUGUGACCAAAACGGUCAACAUCCAUGAUUCACACUCAAAGCUUUCUGAACAGAGGCUGUUGUUAGUAUGCAAUGCUAGUGUGAGGGCUGGUGGGAGGAAGCUUUGUGGCCCUGGCUGUGGGCCCAGUCUAUCUUCCUGUUGGCCAGAAGCAAUGUGCAGGACAAUAAUGCAGCAAGAGAGAGGGGCCAUUGUUAUAAGAGCCAGUCCUAAACUUGGCCAAGAGUUGAUUUGAGAUGACGGUGAAAAUAUUAGACCUUAAAACCUACACUAUCACAUACUAACAAAUAAACAGACUGUUUUGAUUAUCAGUCAUUGUCUACCACAAUCUUGUUUAGUCACCCUUAUCAUCUCUGAAAAAAAAAAUCAGUGUAGAAACAAACAUACUUAGUAAUACAGUUUUUAUGCAUAUUAGAUUAGUGCCCUUGAAACCUUACUCUGAUGGUAACAUCAGAGACAGCGAAUGUAUCAGAUACCAUCUGGACUGGAUUAUGGACCGAACCAGUGGUGCCAGUUCCCAGGGGCCACCAAUGCCUACAGCUGUGCCAAAGACCGUUAAAAGGACUGGCAUAGGGGACUCAUCACAAGGGUCAUUGGUGUAUACAGCUCAAGCUGACCGCAUACAGUGGGACAUGACCACUAGGGCCCUGGGCACAUACAGUGGGAUAUGACCAGUAGGGCCCCCAGGCAAAUACAAUGGGACAUGAUCACUAGGGCCCGGGGCCCUCGGCACAUACAGUGGAACAUGACCACUAGGGUCCUGGGCACAUACAGUGGAACAUGACCAGUAGGGCCCCAGGCCACCAGGCACAUACAGUGGGACAUGACUUCUAUGGCCCUGAACGCAUACAGUGGGACAUGACCACUAGGGCCCUGGGCGCAUAUAGUGGGACAUGACAACUAGGGCCCUGGGCCCCUGGGCACAUACAGUGGGACAUGACCACUAGGGCCCCCGGGCACAUACAAUGGGACAUGACCACUAGGGCCCUGGGCCCCUUCUGACAAAUAGGGCCCCUCAGCUAAUACAGAGAAAAUGGACCACUAACGCCUCUCAGUGAAUACAGCCCAGACUAACCGUUAGGAAUACAACAUUUGCUGACCUUUUGAGUCCCCUAGGAUCACUAUUACAGUCACCAAAGUGACAAUCCUACCAAAACAUGUUUUCCCUAAUUUUGUUGCCUAAUGCAAGAUAAGCUGUUUACCACUAGGGGUGGAAAUAGGAGGAAUGGGGCUCCAAAGAUGUGUACCUAAGGACCUCAAAGAAAUUAUUACCCUAUUGAUGUAGAUGAUUUUGGCUCUAAGGUAAUAAUAAUACAAUUGCAUAACCAUCAUGGUUGUGUCCAAAAAAAAUGGUAAUACCAGGUUACUACAGUAUGUCCCAAAGACCAUGCUAAUAUCAUGGUACGUUUAAGAAAAAAAAGUGGCACAUUAUGGAAAAGGCCAUAAAGGAGUAUUAAAAUAAGACAAAGAAUGGGCUGUAGUGGGAACAAGACAGGAAUAAGGCCUGAGUGAGCCCCUGAGAGUGAGCGUUUCAGAUAUCCUUCAAGCCUGUUUAUGUAUUCCUCAUUGAUCUGGCCAAGUGGAGGAGAAGGUAAAGGGCAUUGGGGGAGGGAUGGAAGAGCUUUUAUGUCUGAUUAACUCUCCUCCAAAUCUCCUCGGACGACAGGAGCACUACGAGGAGGGGCGGAUCGCCUGGCAACGGUAUUCGGUGGGAUUCAUCAGUGACAGCAUUCCGAUCAUGACUGUCCUGCGUCUCCUCUACUCUUCCAAUAAUAUUUAUCAAAGUGCUUUCUGCUCUACCUUGUCUGACAGAGCAAUAUUUAUAAUACCACUCACUUUCGUUCUCUCCUCUACGUCUACCUCUUCUGCUACAAAAGGAGGUACUCUCUCGCUGAUUGCGAAGGGUAAAUGACUGAGAUUUUGUCAGAGGCACUUUAAAAAGUGGCAGCGGUUUGUUUUUCAAUGCCUUCCGUGUCCUAGUAUACUAGCUGUGUUUAUGUAGAUUAGACAUAAGACUAAGCAAACACCACAGAAAGCAAACACAGACCUACCUGACAGCAGUUAUAUCUUACAACGUUAGGAAACUUGCCUAA